rnacentral:lncRNA from 1 species
CCGCGAAUGUCUAAGGUUGGCUGGCCAGCAGAGUUUGGACGGUCGAACACACUUUUUGGCUCUGCCUCUGCACGGUGGCCAGUUUCACAAAGAGGCUGCAGGAAGCUGCUUCCAGCAGGCUGAGUCCUGAGGAGGAGAGGAUAACAGUGGGAGAAGCACCUGGUAACAGCGGCACUUCAUCCAGGAAGAAAACAGGAUCUAAAAUAUAAACAACAUCCUUACAACACAAAAUAUGAGCGUCUAUCAUGGACCAACCAAUAACUGCAAUAAAAGUGUGAUAAAUGCUGUAUCCCCUGGCAGAUG